rnacentral:rRNA from 1 species
CCAGACUCCUACGGGAGGCAGCAGUGGGGAAUAUUGGGCAAUGGGCGCAAGCCUGACCCAGCAACGCCGCGUGAAGGAAGAAGGCCUUCGGGUUGUAAACUUCUUUUAAGAGGGAAGAGAAGAAGACGGUACCUCUUGAAUAAGCCACGGCUAACUACGUGCCAGCAGCCGCGGUAAUACGUAGGUGGCAAGCGUUGUCCGGAUUUACUGGGUGUAAAGGGCGUGCAGCCGGGCUGACAAGUCAGAUGUGAAAUCCGGGGGCUCAACCCCCGAACUGCAUUUGAAACUGUUGGUCUUGAGUAUCGGAGAGGCAGGCGGAAUUCCUAGUGUAGCGGUGAAAUGCGUAGAUAUUAGGAGGAACACCAGUGGCGAAGGCGGCCUGCUGGACGACAACUGACGGUGAGGCGCGAAAGCGUGGGGAGCAAACAGGAUUAGAUACCCCAGUACU